UAGGUUUAGUUGGUUUAGUUUUAGUUGUUUUAGUUUUAGUCGGUUUAGUUUUAGUGGGUUUAGUUUUGGUCGGUUUAGUUUUAGUCGGUUUAGUUUUAGUGGGUUUAGUCGGUUUAGUUUUAGUGGGUUUAGUCGGUUUAGUUUUGGUCGGUU